rnacentral:tRNA from 1 species
GGGGAUUUAGCUCAGUGGUAGAGCGCUUGCCUAGUAAGCGCAAGGCCCUGAGUUCAGUCCCCA